rnacentral:rRNA from 1 species
CGGCAUGCUUAACACAUGCAAGUCGAACGGCAGCAUGACUAUAGCAAUACAGUUGAUGGCGAGUGGCGGACGGGUGAGUAAUAUAUAGGAAUCUGCCUUAUAGUGGGGGAUAACCCGGGGAAACUCGGGCUAAUACCGCAUAAUCUCUACGGAGGAAAGUGGGGGACCGUAAGGCCUCACGCUAAAAGAUGAGCCUAUAUCGGAUUAGCUAGUUGGGGGGGUAAAGGCCUACCAAGGCGACGAUCCGUAGCUGGUCUGAGAGGAUGAUCAGCCACACUGGGACUGAGACACGGCCCAGACUCCUACGGGAGGCAGCAGUGGGGAAUAUUGGACAAUGGGCGAAAGCCUGAUCCAGCAAUGCCGUGUGUGUGAAGGAGGCCUUAGGGUUGUAAAGCACUUUUAGUGGGAAAGAACAGUUUAAGAUUAAUAAUCUUAAGCCUUGACGUUACCCACAGAAAAAGCACUGGCUAACUCUGUGCCAGCAGCCGCGGUAAUACAGAGAGUGCAAGCGUUAAUCGGAAUUACUGGGCGUAAAGCGUACGUAGGUUGAUAUUUAAGUCAGAUGU